ensembl:lncRNA
CUGUCUGCCUGGUCUCCUGCCACACUCCCCAAACUGUAAGCCACACCACUAGAUCCUCAUUCUACCUGACUGAACUGACUUUUCCAAGGUCAUCCAAUCAGUAAAGACAGAGCUGACAUCUGAGUCGGGCUGCAAAGGCCAUCUUACUGCAUAAGAAGCCUUCUUAAGCCAUACCUUACUGUCUCCAGCGAAGACAGGAUGAUCCCUAGCAAAGAAGGCAUUCUGCAAAGAAGUUAUCUGGAAGAACUGAACUACAUCAACAUUCUGAAAUAGGUUUUGAAUGCUCCAUACUCCCAAGAAGAAUAAAUGAUCUUUCCCACUCCUGUGGGGGUCUCUCAGAAUCAGGUGCAGGGUAGCCCACACUUUACACUGAUUAGUUCUUGUAAAGAAGCCAAAUUCCACAGCCCUUUGAGUAUGGAGUUUAAAAUCCUUACUUGAGGAACUGAGAAAAUUCACCCCUGCUAAAAAUCCAGCCCAACAGGAAAUCCAGGAAGAAAUAAAGAAAUGCUGACAAGGCAUGCCAGUCUGAAUCCCUCGAGCAGUUGGCCUGUUUGACUUUGUGUGAUGGUGGGCCAACCUGUGUGCCUGCCGGCUCACACCACUGUAGCUCUUCAAACACAUUCUAUAGAUCUCGCUAAUAAAUUCCAUUUGGCUGCAACCCUUUCCCGGUUCCAGGCAGUCGCCUCUGAAGUGUAAGUGCAGCCUGUCUUUAAGCCAGGCUACUGCCACUUACUGGUGAUCUGUACCUCUUUGGAAAACUAAUCUACACUGCAUUUGAAGGCAGGAAGCAAGAGUUUGAAUGAAAAUGCAGUACCAUGGCUAGAGGACACAGCGCUCACACCUUCUGCGGCUCCAGAAUAAGUGCUAUGUUUUAAAAAUAUAUAUGUAUGUGUUGGCAACAUUGAAAAGGGGGCUAAAAAAACAUCCCCCACAGAAGUGAGAGCAGCAGCAAAAGAAACGUUAGCACCCUGCUGACGGGAACAAUAGAGCAUAUGGACAUCACACUGCGCUUGCCAAGCAGACGAGGGCAGGAUGAUCAAAAUGGAGUCAAUCUGCUUCUCUAAUAGCAGAAGAAUUGCCUGUGUGAACAAUGUCUCCAAGUGUGUUCCGAAGCUCUUUAAUUGCCUGAGAAAGGAGAGAAGGUUUGGUUCACAUUUUAGCCAAGCAUGCUCCUUCCCCGGGGCUUUUCUCUCAGGGCACGUGCCAUGAUGAGUCUCACAGGUGGCCACCAUCUGUGGACUUACACACCUGAGACUUGGCGUAAAACAGAACACACCCUGUGUGAGAACACAGGCUUCUCACCCCAGAAACCAUUCUUGACUGUCACCAGGGUAGAGCUGACUCAAUGCGUAGCAUAAACCAAGAUAUACAGAGCUCAGCUCAAGCACAGGUUCAUCAUUGUCCAUCAAGCAACUUCUUAGUUCCUACAUAUUUCCUUCCAAAUCCAAUGCCUUUGCCCUUCAGGAAAUCUACUUAGAAAUCUAUUUCUAAUUGCUGUGGGUUGAUUAGUAAAUUGCUCUUCUGACAGCCCUGUUGGAAUGACACUCUAGAAUAUUGUUUCCCUUUAUAGGGACUUUUGACCCACAAAACACACUAUGAGCAUAACUGGAGGCCUUGGGUCUUUUACUUGUCUCUGUGACUAAAAUACUGUACACAAAUACACCUCCAAAUUUACAUUGAAAGCAUAGAACCCUCCUCUGAUCUCCAGACACAUGUAUCUAAAUGCCCAUUUAACAUCUCAACUUGGAGGUCACAAAGGCAUUUAAAAUUGUCCCACAAUACUUUGAUUUCUCCCCACUGCCUUCUCUCCAGUUCAAAUUACAUUAUGUUUCAUCUGGACAACCAUGAAACUCUCCUAGAU